rnacentral:rRNA from 1 species
UAACGAAUCUUCCGCAAUGUACGAAAGUAUGACGGAGCGACGCUGCGUGGAGGAGAAGCCCUUCGGGGUGUAAACUCCUGUCAGGGAUUACCAAGUUCUGAGGAAUCCCAGAGGAAGAGGCGGCUAACUCUGUGCCAGCAGCCGCGGUAAGACAGAGGCCUCGAGCGUUAGGCGGAAUCACUGGGCUUAAAGCGUGUGUAGGCGGAUUUCUAAGUACCUUGUGAAAUCCCACGGCUCAACCGUGGAACUGCUCGGUAUACUGGGAGUCUUGAGCCAUCCAGGGGCUACCGGAACAAAUGGUGGAGCGGUGAAAUGCGUAGAUAUCAUUUGGAACGCCAAUGGUGAAAACAGGUAGCUGGGGAUGUGCUGACGCUGAGACACGAAAGCCAGGGGAGCAAACGGGAUUAGAUACCCCCGUAGUCC